GCUAUGCAAUUCUAUGGGGUGGUCAGGGGCAUGAGCCUUUUCAGAAACAGAGAUGAAGCCACAAGUUCCUACAGAAAGAGGGCGGCAACACUUCCAAUUGACUGAAAAGUCUCUAAAUUGGAGAAGCGAGUGCGUGGACAGUGAAUCCAUACUUUAAAUUUGAACUGAGGCUGGAACAAGAGAAGGCCAAGCGUGAAGCGCUCGUUGGCAGCUCAUGGUCCACUGUGGGCUUAGAGACAUGAAGACUAGAGCGAGCUUCGGCAGGACCUAGUGGAUGCUCCGCAGUUCGUCACUGGCCUCUCCUACCACAAGCUCCACUCUCAAACUAAGGAAUCAAAUUUUUAAAGUCUUUUCUAUUCGCUCUCUUACCGUAGCUUCAUAGACGCUAUUUUGAAAAACAGCAUCAAGGGAGGCUGAGUCCUCGAUAACCCAGGCGUCUCACACACCUUCGAAAGGUAGAGAAAGAUACCACAACCUGCGACAUACAGCGUGCGAGAUACUUGCGGAAAGAAGGGGAAGUAUGGCGUGAGAAUCUAAGCUCAAGCAACACCGUGCUGUCCCAGGAUGUCCAAGCACCGGGCAGUGUGUGGGUUGCUUUCCCAGAAUCCCCUACCAAGUGCUCACCUGGUCUGAGGGAAGGACCCGCCCCUUCCGUUCUCUGUUUCUGAACAGCCUUUCUUCUUCCUCGAAUGCUUCUGCCCCUCACAUGCACACGGAGAGAGACGGUCCUUCUCUCCGUUCUGCUCAGCGACCCUAACUCCCACGUUCAGUUCUAUUGUUGGAGGGUGAGAUCACAAUUUAGAAAGAGGAACCUCACAGCCUGCAGUCUGCCUUUCUGGGAAUUUCUUAUGAAAUACAAACCACUAACAAUGCAUGAAUACAUCUUCCUAAGAGGGCUGUACACCUAAGAAAACAAUCUGCAUAAUUCUUGCAUAUAAAACCAAAAUGUUAAUAAUCAUGUUAAUCAAAAUGGUCUACAUUUCCAUUCCCUCAUUAAUUCAACAGAAAAGCAUCAGAAAGAUGUGGAAGCCAAGGAAGGGCUGAGGUGCAACCAGCAAAACUCACAGAAUCAGGUAGCGUAGGGGGCAGCAGGUAAAUGAAAAUCUGAUUUCAAGUGAA